GAGAGUAUGGCUCCGUGGUAGAGCGCAUGCCUAGCAUGCACGAGGUCCUGGGUUCAAUCCCCAGUACUGACA
rnacentral:tRNA from 1 species